rfam:Dictyostelium discoideum AX4 chromosome 2, whole genome shotgun sequence.
GACUCCUUAGCAUAGUGGUUUAUUGUAAUUGUCUCCAAAACGUUAGAAGUUAGCAGUUGGUCCAGGGUUCAACUCCCUGAGGGGUCU